rfam:Camelus ferus unplaced genomic scaffold scaffold1058, whole genome shotgun sequence.
GAGGGUACAGCUCAGUGGUAGAGUGCAUGCUUAGCAUUCAUGAGGUCCCAGGUUCAAUCCCCAGUACAUUCA